ensembl:lncRNA
GUGGGUUUUUUGUUUGGGGGGGGGUUGUUUGUUUUUCAGCCUUCUUUUUCUCGCCACUUCCUCCUCCUCUGAGCAUCUUCGACUGCAGGCCUACCCGGCUUCUAAAUGCGUAGAUGUGGCGGGCCUGGGGGGAUCCUGUGCGCCUCGCUCACGGCGCCACGCUGCCGAAGACUCAGAACCGAGGGUCCCCAAGGCAAUCCGUAGUUGCUUCGUGGUCUCAUGGACUUCUCUCUCACACAUGGAAAUGAUGUCUGAGGACUGCUUACAUUCUGGAGAAAAUGCCUGGGAUUUUUGAUCUGAGGAAUUGGCAGAAGGUAGGAGAGGGGCUUGGAAACUCUAAAAUCAAGAAAUUCAAGAGGAAAAAUUAAAGAAGAACAAGAAACUGUUUGAAGAAAGGAAGGAAAGUAAAAGAAUUGUGUGCAAAAUCCUAAGGGUGUUUGAAAUUUCUCCUGAGUUUCCAGCAAAGGUAGCCGUAGCCUGCCUGUCUCUCUUUCCCUGGGUUUCCCCAUGGACUCUCUGGUUCAGUAUUUCUGGACUCCUUUGCCUGGAAACCACACAUUUACAAACAAGCAGCCUAGUCACAGGGAGGCCUUACCCACUGGUGAUGGGUAGGGAAAGCUGCCGGUGUGGACAAGGAGCCAGGGUGGGAAAAGCCCUGGGCAGGCCUGGCAGGGCUGGAGUAUGGCCUUCCAGACCUGUCUGGCUGUAGGACAAAGGUGCUGAGCUCACCACCUGUAGGGGAGCCUCUGAGCUCCUGGCCAUGGGGGGGGGGGCUUGGCCCAGAAUGAUCUUAUUGCCGUUAUUAAUGACCAGAAUGAUAUCUUAAGCUAAGACCAAAAGGAAAGGGAUCCAAAUGAGAAAACCAGCACAGCUCUGCCUCUGCUCAGAAGCUGUGAGCUUCACUACACCCAGUGUCUACAGUUGUUUCUUAGGUAUCUACCAGUGGGCUCUGCACUCCAGAGUUCGGGAUUGUACAGGCUGGAAGGCAAUUACUUGAAACAAGUAGGGUAUGAAAUCCUUGAGAAGGGAGGUGGAAGAUGCUCCCUGUGUAACUAAGACAACUUACUACCACUUCUUCCUCCACAGCAGAUUUAAGAUCUUUUUCUUUUUAAACUAAAAAUGACACUGUCCUAAAAGCCAUUGGGAGUUUGGACAGAUUCUCUUGUAGAACUAGGACUGUCCCUAACAGUCACUUAUCAGACUGAGUGGCAGGUGCUGAAUGACAUUCCAAAAUCAGGCACACCGGGGUUGGGUCUUGGCUCUUGGAUUGGCUUUGUGACCAGAAUUCAACAUCUUGGGCUGUUUUAGCGUCUGGCAAAUAAUGGGUCUGAAAGUACCACAGCUGUACCUGGUAGUCUGCAUCGCUAGGCAUUUCCUCGAGUCUUCUUGAAAGUCCACUCAUUCUUUACCCAGAAACCCAGAAAAUUUGAGCUGAUUCACAUCUCUCCUAAACAAACUGAGCUGUGGCUUCGCAGACGGGAGCUCCCCACUGCAAACACCAGUCCUUUCCAGGGAUCUCAAAAACAGUUUCUGGUUUCCCCACUGUGCCUUUGUUUGCAUUCUGCCACCCUGCUGGGCAAGGUCUCAUCUUUGUAUUCUUUUUUUUUUGUACCGGGCAUCGAAUCCGGACCUUGCACUUUCGAGGCAGGCACCAGAACCACUGAGCUAAAUCCCCAGUCCUCAUCUUUGUAUUCUCGACAUUGCCUGUCAGCCAAUUCAAUUACUCACCGGCUGCAGGUCGGGGAACAGUCCCUCAAACCUGGCUGGAACCCACAGAAAAUCGCUGAGAUGCAGGACUCCGUGAUCCACCCUCCAUUCUGCCCCAAGUGCCGACUAGAAAGCCUGGGAGGAAGAACGACACAGGGUCAAGCUAGCCCCACGGUCUAAGAGGUGACGUCUCAGCGGGCUGCCCUGACUGCUUGGGAGUCCCCGGGGACAGGACACGCCCAGAGAUCCAGCAGGCCCAGAGACCCAGCAGGCGGUGAACCCUUAGAUCUCAGCUCCACCACCCUUCCCCCAACCUUUGCUCAGGGGGAAAGGUUCAAGGUGGGCAGGUGCUGGGCCUUCUGGCGCGCUGCUUCUCAGGAGCCCCAGCUGUGUGCUCCAGGCUUCAUCUGCUAUGUUUUCAGCAAGGAAAGUAAAUAUCUUGUAUAUAGUUCCAUAGUGGUCUGGCCCUGAUUAUGCACGAUCACGUUCCAGAAAUACGGCUGCUGUGGCUGGAAGGCGCCGGACUCGCGGAAGACUCUUGGAACUUCCUCUUUUUGUUUUUUAAUUUAGUUUGAACGACUGGCUGGUGGUUGGAAAGUGGUCAGCUCGGAUUCCUCAUUCUGAACACAGCCUCGGUGUUACCAUGCAGGUGAGAACUGGGAAGCAACAGCUCACUGAGCUUUCCACUAACCCCUGGUGGCCCCACGCAGCCCCAGGCCGACCAGACACCUCCCCAGCCCCAGGCCCACACUCAGAGGCAUCCUCAUUCGUCUGGGACCCAGUAAAAUCUCUUAAACUUGAAGGGUUGGCAAGAGAGGAAAGGAGCCAGGCAACGGAAUAGCGG